rnacentral:rRNA from 1 species
GAUGAACGCUGGCGGCGUGCGUAACCCAUGCAAGUCGAACGAGCAGAUUUCCUUCGGGGAAGAAGCGAGUGGCGGACGGGUGAGUAACGCGUGAACAACCAACCCUAUACAGGGGGACAACAGCUGGAAACGGCUGCUAAUACCGCAUAAGACCACAAGGCCGCAUGACCAAGGGGUCAAAGGAGCAAUCCGGUAUAGGACGGGUUCGCGUCCCAUUAGCUAGUAGGCGGGGUAAAGGCCCACCUAGGCAACGAUGGGUAGCCGAGCUGAGAGGCUGAACGGCCACACUGGGACUGAGAUACGGCCCAGACUCCUACGGGAGGCAGCAGGGGGGAAUAUUGGGCAAUGGGGGAAACCCUGACCCAGCAACGCCGCGUGAAGGAAGAAGGCCUUCGGGUUGUAAACUUCUGUGACAGGGGACGAAGGAAGUGACGGUACCCU